rnacentral:lncRNA from 1 species
CUCACAUCCCCCUCAGCACCAAACAGUUCCAUGUAUGUGCACACAAGGACAAGACAGUGGAGGGAAAAAGUGGGACACUGAGCCUGGAAGGCUAAAAGAGUCCGCUGGCAACAUGAGUGUGAAAAUCACGAAGAGAGAAAAGGAUGCUCUUAAACUCCUGUUCUUUGCCACACAGUUCAAGGUUAUCCUGCCAAAGGAAAGAAAGGAAUACAUUUAUCCACUUAACAGCUGGC